AAGCUGCGGGGAGGAGCAAAUAUCCAUUGAUCCGGAGAUAUCUGAAUGGGGAAACCCGGCUGAGCAAACCUCAGCCACUGCAUGGUGAAUCCAUAGCCAUGCAGGGGGAACCCGGUGAACUGAAACAUCUAAGUAACCGGAGGAAGAGAAAGAAACAUCGAUUCCCAAAGUAGCGGCGAGCGAAAUGGGAAGAGCCCAAACCAGCGUGCGUGCAUGCUGGGGUUAAGGACUGCGUACGUGAACCGAAUUGUUAGUGGAACUGUCUGGGAAGUCAGGCCGGAGAGGGUGAAAGCCCCGUACACGAAAGCAAUAGGAAGCAGCAGGAUCCAGAGUACCACGAGACACGGGAAACCUUGUGGGAAGUAGGAGGGACCACCCUCCAAGGCUAAAUACUCCUUAGUGACCGAUAGCGCAUAGUACUGUGAAGGAAAGGUGAAAAGGACCCCGGGAGGGGAGUGAAAAAGAACCUGAAACCCUGUGUUUACAAGCUGUGGAAGCACGUUAAGGUGCGACCGCGUACUUUUUGUAGAACGGUCCGGCGAGUUGCGGAUGCUGGCAAGGUUAAGCACUUUAGGUGCGGAGCCGAAGCGAGAGCAAGUCUGAAUAGGGCGUCAAGUCAGCAUGUGCAGACCCGAAACCGGGUGAUCUAUCCAUGUCCAGGUUGAAGCGAAAGUAAAAUUUCGUGGAGGACCGAACGCACAUCCGUUGAAAAGGGUGGCGAUGAGGUGUGGAUAGGGGAGAAAUUCCAAUCGAACCCGGAGAUAGCUGGUUCUCCUCGAAAUAGCUUUAGGGCUAGCCUCGUAUUAGUCUGGUGGAGGUAGAGCACUGAAUUUCCUAGGGGGCGUCAAAGCCUACCGAAGAAUAUCAAACUCCGAAUGCCAUACAGAUGAUGUACGGGAGUCAGACGGCACGAGAUAAGUUGGGUCGUCAAAAGGGAAAGAGCCCAGACCUGCAGCUAAGGUCCCAAAGUGUGUGUUAAGUGGAAAAGGAUGUGGGAUUUCAAAGACAACUAGGAUGUUGGCUCAGAAGCAGCCACACAUUCAAAGAGUGCGUAAUAGCUCACUAGUCGAGAGGUCCUGCGCCGAAAAUGUCCGGGGCUGAAACACAACACCGAAGCUUAGGAAUGUCGUAAGACAUUGGUAGAGGAGCAUUCUCAGGACGGAGAAGCGGUACCGGUAAGGAGCCGUGGAGUGCUGAGAAGAGAGAAUGCCGGAAUGAGUAGCGAGAUGGAGGUGGGAAUCCUCCAGGCCGAAUAUCCAAGGUUUCCAGAGUAAAGCUGAUCUGCUCUGGGUAAGUCGGGGCCUAAGGCGAGGCUGAGAGGCGUAGCCGAUGGACAACAGGUUGAAAUUCCUGUACCGUGUAUCAUCAGAACUGUGGGGACACAGAAGGACAGCACAUCCCGGGAAUGGGAAUACCGGGGCAAGCGUGGUAGGAGUACGGCUGGCAAAACCGCCGUGCAAUCCGAAUACGUGACGCGGAGCGAACAAAAGUAGCGAAGUGUGUGAUUCCGGCUGUCAAGAAAAGCCGCUAUUGUGUGAUACAUGCCCGUACCGUAAACCGACACAGGUAGAUGAGGAGAGAAUCCUAAGGCCGGCGGGAGAAGCAUUGUUAAGGAACUCGGCAAAAUGACCCCGUAACUUCGGGAGAAGGGGUGCCGCAGAGAUGUGGCCGCAGAGAAUAGGCUCAAGCAACUGUUUAGCAAAAACACAGGUCUAUGCAAAACCGUAAGGUGAGGUAUAUGGGCUGACGCCUGCCCGGUGCUGGAAGGUUAAGAGGAGAGGUUAGAGCAAUCGAAGCUUUGAAUUGAAGCCCCAGUAAACGGCGGCCGUAACUAUAACGGUCCUAAGGUAGCGAAAUUCCUUGUCGGGUAAGUUCCGACCCGCACGAAAGGCGUAAUGAUUUGAGCGCUGUCUCGACAAUGCACCCGGUGAAAUUGAAAUACCAGUGAAGAUGCUGGUUACCUGCGCCAGGACGGAAAGACCCCAUGGAGCUUUACUCCAGCUUGAUACUGGGAUUCGAUAUUGCAUGUACAGGAUAGGUGG
rnacentral:rRNA from 1 species